rnacentral:rRNA from 1 species
AACGAACGCUAGCGGCAUGCCUAACACAUGCAAGUCGAACGAGACCUUCGGGUCUAGUGGCGCACGGGUGCGUAACGCGUGGGAACCUGCCCUUAGGUUCGGAAUAACUCCCCGAAAGGGGUGCUAAUACCGGAUAAUGUCUUCGGACCAAAGAUUUAUCGCCUUUGGAUGGGCCCGCGUUGGAUUAGCUAGUUGGUAGGGUAAAAGCCUACCAAGGCGACGAUCCAUAGCUGGUCUGAGAGGAUGAUCAGCCACACUGGGACUGAGACACGGCCCAGACUCCUACGGGAGGCAGCAGUGGGGAAUAUUGGACAAUGGGCGAAAGCCUGAUCCAGCAAUGCCGCGUGAGUGAUGAAGGCCUUAGGGUUGUAAAGCUCUUUUACCCGGGAUGAUAAUGACAGUACCGGGAGAAUAAGCUCCGGCUAACUCCGU